rnacentral:sRNA from 1 species
CCCUAGCCCCGAUGGCAGUGGAAAUCCUUUUUUAAAAGGAUUCGCCGAAGCGGCAGCGUAGGCAAAUCUCUUUUAAAAAAGAUUGCAACGUACAGCGGGAAAAAGC